GGAAGUUACAUUAAAGAAGAGCAAGAGCACAAAAGAGAAUAACAAAAUCAAUUGUCUAAGAGUAUGAGUAGGUGCGAGUUGUGGAAAUAAGUGGGGAAUGUGACUCGAAUUCGAAUCAAAUCAUCUGCAGUGCAGCUAGUGCAGCAAUGGCAACCCUGAUGUAUCACAUGUUCUCCUCGUCUGCACUGCUAUCCCUCGGACUCUACCACCUCAUUUCCACCACCCGAAACCACCACCUCAAAUCUCCUCGUGGUGACUACACCGCCAAACCCUACCACCCCAUCUCCGCCUUCUCCUCCCGUCUCCGCCACCUCCCUUUAUAUCUCCUCCUCCUUUGCAACUACACCGCCAAACCCUACCACCCCAUCUCCGCCUUCUCCUCCCGUCUCCGCCACCUCCCUUUAUAUCUCCUCCUCCUCUGCCUCCUCAUCUCCUUAAUCCAUCAAUCCUUUAUCUCUUUCGACGCCGAUCCUCUCCUCAAAGGCCGCACUCCCGUCCACCGCUUCACCUCUCUCCAAGCCGCCGCCGUCAUUUU
rnacentral:lncRNA from 1 species